rnacentral:tRNA from 1 species
GCACUCGUAGCUCAGUUGGAUAGAGCAUCAGUCUUCUAAACUGGCGGUCAUAGGUUCGAAUCCUAUCGAGUGUGCCA